rnacentral:rRNA from 1 species
UACAGAGGGGGCAAGCGUUGUUCGGAAUUACUGGGCGUAAAGGGCGCGUAGGCGGCCUUCUAAGUCGAACGUGAAAUCCCCGGGCUCAACCCGGGAACUGCGUCCGAUACUGGAAGGCUUGAAUCCGGGAGAGGGAUGCGGAAUUCCAGGUGUAGCGGUGAAAUGCGUAGAUAUCAGGAGGAACACCCGUGGCGAAGGCG